AUUGAACGCUGGCGGCAGGCCUAACACAUGCAAGUCGAACGAGUGGCGGACGGGUGAGUAAUUUCUGGGAAACUGCCUGAUGGAGGGGGAUAACUACUGGAAACGGUAGCUAAUACCGCAUACCAUCAGAUGUGCCCAGAUGGGAUUAGGUUGUUGGUGGGGUAACGGCUCACCAAGGCGACGAUCCCUAGCAGGGCUGAGAGGAUGACCGGCCACACUGGAACGGAGCCACGGUCCAGACUCCUACGGGAGGCAGCAGUAGGGAAUAUUGCACAAUGGACGUAAGCCUGAUGCAGCCAUGCCGCGUGUAUGAAGAAGGUCUUCGGAUUGUAAAGCUCUUUCAGCAGGGAGGCGUUACCUACAGAAGAAGCACCGGCUAACUCCGUGCCAGCAGCCGCGGUAAUUC
rnacentral:rRNA from 1 species